rnacentral:lncRNA from 1 species
GAAGAGAAGUCAGCUGACACGGAGAAGAAGAGAAGUCAGCUGACAGGAAGAACGAAGAUAAGUCAGCUGACAUGGAAAAGGAAGAGAAGUCAGCUGACAGUGAGAAGGAAGAGAAGUCAGUUGACACGGAGAAGGAGGAUAAGUCAGCUGAAAGAAGAGAAGUCAGCUUACACGGAAAAGGAAGAGACGUCAGCUGACAAGGAGAAGGAAGAGAAGUCAGCUGACACAGAGGAGGCAGAGAAGUCAGCUGACAGGGAGAAGGAAGAGAAGUCAGCUGACACGGAGAAGGCAGAGAAGGCAGCUGACAUGGAGAAGGAAGAGAAGUCAGCUGAAACGGAGAAGGCAGAGAAGCCAGCUGACAUGGAGAAGGAAGAGAAGUCAGCUGACACGGAGAAGGCAGAGAAGUCAGCUGACAUGG